GAAAUGCGAUAAGUAAUGUGAAUUGCAGAAUUCAGUGAAUCAUCGAAUCUUUGAACGCACCUUGCGCUCCUUGGUAUUCCUUGGAGCAUGCCUGUUUGAGUAUCAUGAAAUCUUCAAAGUAAAUCUUUUGUUAACUCAAUUGGUUUCUACUUUGGUAUUGGAGGUCUUUGCAGCUUCACCUGCUCCUCUUUGUUCAUUAGCUGGAUCUCAGUGUUAUGCUUGGUUCCACUCGGCGUGAUAAGUUAUCUAUCGCUGAGGACACUGUAAAAGGUGGCCAAGGUAAAUGCAGAUGAACCGCUUCUAAUAGUCCAUUGACUUGGACAAUACUUUUAUGAUCUGAUCUCAAAUCAGGUAGGACUACCCGCUGAACUUAAGC
rnacentral:misc_RNA from 1 species